rnacentral:rRNA from 1 species
UGAGUAGGCGGUAAUAUGUGUCAGAUGUAAAAGGCUAUGGCUUAACCAUAGUUGGCAUUUGAAACUGUAUUACUUGAGUGCAGGAGAGGUAAGUGGAAUUCCUAGUGUAGCGGUGAAAUGCGUAGAUAUUAGGAGGAACACCAGUGGCGAAGGCGACUUACUGGACUGUAGCUGACGCUGAGUCACGAAAGCGUGGGUAGCAAACAG